CCAAAGUGCUGAGAUUAUAGGCAUGAGCCACUGUGCCCAGCCCUGAAUGGUCAUUUUUAAUUUUAGGCAAUAGCUCCUGAGGAUAAAGACUGGAUAUACGCUGCUGAUAUGAUACCAAGACAUCCUGUUCUUCAUCUUCUUACACCUAUUUGGACAAGCACUAAUGCCUUUGUAGUCUCAUUGAAAAAUCUCCAGGAUAGCUUUAUUAAUAGGUAGUUUACCACUUUUGAAACUAGAUUGAGAAAAUGAAAGUAAAUCCUUAAAAAAAUCCCUGAGGCUCCCAGGUGUUCAGUCACUUUGGCAUGAGAUGGCACACAUCUGGGUGUGAUCAUCUGGGACAAAAUGCAGCUGAAGAGAUGAGAGGUAACAGUCUGAUGAAUGCAAACACAGUCUGUAAUGAGGGGUCCACUCAGUCUUAAUGACAAGCAGUCACAAUGUCUGUGGUGCACUCACCACUGUGCAGCAGCCUCUGUAUGUGACCAGGUAGCAAAUGGCUUCUGUUUAUCUUUGAAGGGAGAAGGGAAUAAGCUCAGGUGUGAUUUUAACUUGGCAUCACUGUUCAAGUACUAGAAUGAAUAACUGUUCCUUUUUCUAAGUUUCUAGAUAAUGCAGACAUUAAUCAAGGUUCCUUCCCCACAACUCCUAUAGUCAAGGGCCAGGCAUGCAAACUAAGUCAAGCUCCUUAAGCUCACUUUUUCUGGAAUUUGGAAACUGAGUUGAAUGAAAUUAGGAUGUGGGUAAUCAGAUUCACUCUCUGGUGACACCCCAAGUACCUGUCUCUUCCUUUCUGCUACCUGGAUUCCAAGCCUUACCUUGCUUUCUUAAUUCCCUAAGGAAUUAUGACCACCCUAAGGUCUUGUUGCCCUGUUGGAUUCCAUGUGCUAACUUAGGGAUUGGCGAAGUUCUGAAAAGGACCCGGGAGUAAAUAUUUUAGACUUUUCUGGAUGUGCAUUCUCAGUCACAGCUAUUUCCCUCUGCCACGGCAGUGCAAAACAGCCACAGAAAAUGUGUAAACAAAUGGGCAUGGCUGUGUUCCAAUAAAUCUUAUUUAUGGACACCGGAAUUUGAAUUUCAUAUAAUCUUUAUGUCAUGAUAUGUUAUUCUUGUUCUGAUUUUUUCAACUAUUUGUACGUAUAAAAACGAUUCUUAGCGUGUGGGCUGCACAAUGAUAGACAGCAGGACAGAUUUGAUCUGACCUCAGAGCUAUAUCCUUGAACUGACCCAUCUCCUUCCAAUAACUUCCUUUAUUUUACCUAAUCUUACCCAGGCCAAUUUUUGUUGCCUGCCACCGAAGACUGACUAUAAUGUGUCUUAAAUUUGUUUGUAUCUAAAGGAGAUUGGCUACAAGAUUCCCCAACACUAUUCAUUCCUUAUUUGUUCAUUCAUGCAUUCAAUCCGUGUUGAGCACCUUUUAUACUCAGGCGACUGUAAUAGGCACUGAGAAUACAGCUAUAAUUUAGGCUAAUACAGUUCUGCCUUCCUGAGGGAGCUUUCUCUGUAACAGGCACAGACAAUCCUGAUGAGAGACAAAGGAAGGUAUUUAAAGAAUCAUCUGUGGCUUUACAGAAUGUUCUCUGGGGAGCUUGAAUGUUCAAAAGACAUAUUCUACAGAAAAAGAAAAAGUGACGGAGUCCAAGAUGGUUAUAAUAGGGUGACCACAAACAUGUAAAAGAGGACCAGAGAAGUUUGACUCAAAAAUAAGCUGAAACUUAUUGGGGGAAAGAUAGGACUAUCAAAGUGGGGGGUUUAAAGCUCUAGUUUGUAGAGAAGGAAGAGGAAUAAGCUAUUAAAAUCUAAAAACCAAUGUACACAUGAUGCACUUGAUUUAAGGAAAUUUUUGUUGCUUAAAAAUAGAAACAAACAAAUAUUACAGAUGACACUGGUUUAUGUUCCACAUUUUCCAGGUUUAGCUCUUUUUCCAAGAUGACAGGUAAUUAGAAAGGCAAAAUCAGAGUUCUUACUUUUCAAGUCCUCAUUGGUGAUUCUAUAUUCUUCCUCUCCUCUGUUAUUUAUUUAAUACCCUGAUACUUAGAUUUUAGAGGUCUGUCCUAAUAUUAAAAAAAAAAAAAUCUCCCCAGCUGAAAAUAUAAGCCUUGGCCCCGCUUGUCAUGUACUCGGAGAAAAUGAGUUGGGGCUGCCUUCUCUACCAUGCCUUUCUAAAGUGCCACUAAAGAAAAAUUGUUACUAGGUUGACCCUAAGACUGUCAUUUUCUAGGCUUGAUUCACUUGGGUGAAUGCAACUCUUCCUAGAAGAAUUAGAGUGAAAGUCCAUUAUGAAGUGGCUUAUCAGAUUGAAUCUUACUUAGUUCCUCUUUAUCUUCAGGGGAUACAUAUAUUUGUAGAGGAUAUAUACAUACUUACGAUACAUUAUUAGUUCCUCCUUAUCUGCAGAGGAUACAUUCCAAGACCCCAGGAGACACCUGAAACCCCAGAUAGUACCCAUCCUAUGUAGCCCUGUUAGAUUCCAUGUUAGGGACUGGCAAAUGUCUACUAUGUUUUUUCAAACUGUAUGUGAAUACCUAAGAUGAUGUUUAAUUUAUAAACUAGGUGCAGAGAUUAAUAACAACUAAUCAUAAAAUAGAACAAUUAUGACAAAAUGCUGUAACAAAAGUUACAUGAAUGUGGUCUCUCUUUGGUUCUCUCUUUCUCUCUCCCAAAAUAUCUUAUUAGACUGUACUCACCCUCUUUUCCCUGUGAUUUGUUGAUCUGAUAACUGAGAUAGUUACUAAAUGAUGAAUGGGUGGGUAAAAUACACAGCGUGGUACAUUGCACAAAGGAAUGAUUCACAUCCUGGAUGGGAUGAAGUAGUACAGCCCAAGAUUUGGCAUAAUAUUCAGAAUGUGUGCAACCUAAAACUUUUUAUUUCUGAAAUUUUCCAUGGGUCACCGAACCUUUGAAAGGUGAAACCACAGAUAAGGAGAAACGACUGUCAUAUGGAGCAGAGAGUUCCAAACUUCUGUCUCUUCUAGUCUUGGCUUGCCAAUGGAGAUGAACUUAGGAAUGCCUAUUUCAUCAAAUAGAGAUGGUGCUGGACUCACAGCAAGAGCUCAAGAAACACAUGGAAAUGCCAUAGAACCAUUUUUUCCCAAAACAAUUUUUCAAUGUCCUAAAAUGAAAACAAACUAGCUAAAAUGAUGGCUAAAGACACCCUUGGGAAUAUAUUCCAGACUCACCAUGAUAUUGUUCAUUAAUGGAACUACACAGCUGUAAGAAAAUCAUUCAUGAGUAUUUAGCAGAUCAUAUAACCAAUUAACCUCAUUUUUUAUUAUGACAUAUAUAUUCACAUGUGUGUGCCUAUGUAUAUAAUUAUGCACUAAUAUUACUCUAUAAAUAUUUAUUGAUAAAAAUUCUUUGUGUUUUUAAAUAUAAGGUAAAAUAUCACUUGAAGUAGCAUUAAGAAACUUAACUUUAAGGCACGGUUUGGUGCCUUCUCUCAAAAAUCUCAACUAUUAUUUACCACUCCCUGGUUUAAUCUUUAUUUUCUAUUUUUUCUCACAUGGCUAAUUAUAAAUCUGAUUUUCACCUCUAAUGGUAUUUUAUCACUAAACCCUAGCCCAUAUAUUCUGGUUUUGAUAGGUUCACUAGAGCUAUUACCUUCAUCAUCUCUAUUCACAGAACCAACCAGCACUAAAAAACUGGCAAGUAUCUGAAGAAAACUAUCUAGACCAGAGCUUUCAGCACACAGACAUUCAAAAUGUGACUUUAGUUUUUAAUUCUCCAGGUUAAAGAAACAAUAUUAUAGAUUAUCUUUUUCUGCUCUCAGAAGCCACGCAUUUAUUCUUGGAGUAAGCAUAGGGGAAGAGGAUUGAUUGCCCAAAGGAAAAACUCAAGGUACGGUUAUCAGAACAAGGGAAAUAAGUGUUGAGCAAGCAAAAGCUAACCAAAACUUGUGUAUAUUUUCAGACCACACUAAGGCAUAAAAAUAUGUAAGCAUUCUAUCCUGUUUGAAACAAAACUGAGCCCCAUAUUUUACAGUGCAAAUUAUUUAAGAGAGAAAUAAAAUACACUGAAUUAUAAAAAUAAGCAGUAUUUUUUAAAAGCACAACAACUAGAAUAAUCUAGUGCUUCCUCAAUCAUAACUACCAAUUAAUAAUCAACUCAGGUCUAUUCACUAUGUCUUGAAUAUCAAAAGUUAGAAGAACUAUACCUGUUCUAAAAUUGGACUAUGCAGUAAGAGAGGACUUGGCCUCGGCUUUUAUCUGCUGAUAGGUUAAUUGGUUUUAAUUAGCUUGCAUACCUUAUCAGAACCAAAAUAGUUUCUUUAGUCUGCUAAAUCUUUGGAGCAUAGUGAAUACUUUUUAUAAGUAACUUUUUCCAUUAGUUACAAAAUGCUAUAGCUUCUCUCCUUCUCAGGACUCAGUUUGACUCCCAUUUGUUCACACUUCUGUAUGUGGAAACAAUUCUAGAAGUUUCCAAAAUAUAUAGUUGGUAUUUACUUGUCCUAGUAGCUGUGACCUCACCAGACACUCUGCUAUGAGCCCACUGCUGUGGCUCCUCUUUCCAAGUGGUCUAGACUGGAUUUUUCCCUGCCUCUUUCUCAGCCUGGUUCUCUAGGCUCAAAAGGGAAAAUUCCAUUUAAUCCCCUGUUCUGAAAUUAACCAGAGUCAAUUUCUGCUGCUUAAAAUAAAAUAUCCCUAUCUGAAAAGCAUUUAUCCAACUAAUGUUUUCUAAAUGCCCACAAUCUGUCAGGCAUUUGCGUUUCACUGUUGGGUAAACAAUAGGUCUCUGCUUGUAGAAGCUCACACAGUAGAAGACAUAAUUAUAAAAAUGGUGAUAUGAAGGCUGUCUGAUAAAAGAUGGUAGUUGUGGGAGCUAUGGUAUGUUUCUUUAAAUAUGUUACGAUGGUUUGAAUGUUUCCCCCAAAAGCUCAUGUACUGGAAACUUAAUCCCUCAUCUCUCACUAAUGGAUUAAUGUUGGCUCUGCCCUCAUGAGUAGAUUAGUAGAUUAAUGAGGGUUCUGCCCUCAUUUAUGUUAUCACAGGAGAGGGUUUAUUAUCUGGAGAAUAGAUUUGUUGUAAAAAUAAACUGUAUCUGACUGUCUUGCUCCUGCCUUUUUGCCAAGAGCCUUAUGCCCUCUGACAUGUUAUAACACAUAAGAAGGCCCUUAUGAGGUACAGGUACUAUGUUCUUAGACUUCUCAGCCUCCAGAAUUGUGAGCUAAAUAAACUUUUUUUCUUUAUAAAUUACCCAUUCUUUAAUUUCUUAUAGCAACAGAAAACAAAUUAAGACAGAAAAUUCUACCAAGAAGUGGGAUUGUUGGUAUAACUAAUACCUAGAAAUGUGGAAAUGGCUUUGGAACUGGAUAAUGGGCAGAAGCUACAAGAAUUUGGAGGAGUAGGCUAGAGAAAGUCUUUAUUAUCAUGAAUGGAGCAUUAAGAGUGAUUCGAGUGAAAGCUGGAAUAAGAGAAGACUAGGGAAAGUCUGGACCUUAGAGAUUACUUAAGUAGCUAUGACUAGAAUGUUGAUAGAAAUAUGGACAGAAAAGGCUAUUCUGAUAAGGUCUCAGAAGGAAAUGUGAAAGAAGGUGUUGGAAACUGGAAUUAAGACCCCCUCCCCCACCUUGUUAUUAGGUAACAAAGAACUUGGAUGAACUGUGCCUGUGCCUGAGGGUUUUAUAGAAGGCAAAAUUUAAGAGUGAUAAAUUAGGAUAUCUGGUCAAAGAAAAUAGCUAAGCUACAAACCAUGCAGGCUGCUUAAUGGCUAUUUUUAACCACUUACAGUAAAAUAUAGAGGAAGGAGUUGAUUUAAAGACAGAAUUUAUAAUUAAAAGGGAAGUAGCGUGCAAAGAUUUGGAAAACUAGCAGCCUGGUGAUGUGGUAGAGAAUGAAAGAACAUGGGACCAAUUGAGAAGGAAAUUAGUAUGGAUCAAAGAAAGCCAGAGGCUAUUCAUCAAGACAUUUGGGCGAUAAACUUGAAAGAUAUUUUAGAGAUCAUUGAGGCUGCCUUUCCCAACACAGGCCCAGAGCUCCAAGAAGGCAGAAUGGUUAGGGGGAUGGGCAGCUGCCAAGGGCUGCCUCAGGUCUCUGCUCUCUGCAUUUCAGCACAUGUUGAGCUCUCCAGCUGUGGCUCAAAUGGCCCCAGUGCUUCCGAAGGUAUAACUUGUAGAAGGUGUAAGUCCUAGAAGGCAUAGGUCAUAUGCCUUGGCAGUGUUCAUGUGGCUCUAAUUCUGCAGGCAUGCGGAAAGCAAGAGCUGGGAACACACAGCUUCCUCCACCGAGAUUUCAAAGGAUAUCACAAAAGCCUAGGGGCCUAGACAUAGACCAUACAGUGGUUGUCACAGAAGUAGAGUUACUGCAGAGAGACCAUACUCAGGCCAAGCUGAGCUAAAAUUUGAGAUUGGAGUCAAGGCUGCCACAAAGAGCUCCCUCUAGAGCAAUGCCUAGUAAAGCCACAGGGUCAGGGUCACCCUCAAGACUCAGGAAUUGUGCAGCCACCAGUGUGUAACACCAACCCAUGAUAGCUGCAGGCAAGGGACUCAGUCUGUGAGAACCGCUACAUAGGCAGAGCCCUCCAAAGUCAUAGGGGUGGGGUUGCCAGAAGCUUUGUGGAGGAAGGGGUCCAAAUCCCCACUGUGUCCUAGAGGCAACAGAGAGUGAAAAAUCAUUCUGAAGCUUCAACGAAUAAUAUUGUUUCUCCUGUUACAUUGUUGACUUACUUGGAACCAGUUACACCUUUUUUCUUGCUUCCUUUCCCUCUUCUGGAAUGUAAAUGUUUAUCUUGUGUCUGUCCCACCAUUGUAUUUUGAAAGUAGAUAACUUGUUUUGAUUUCAAAGGUUCACAGCUGGAGGAAAUUUGCCAUGGCAUGAAUCACGCCUGAGUCACUCAUAUCUGAUUUAAAGGAGACUCUGGACUUUGGACUUUGAGUUGAUAUUGGAAUGCUUAAGACUGUGGGGCUAUUAGGAUGGAAUUAAUGUAUUUUGCAUGUAAGAAGGACAUAAAUUUUGGGGGCCAGAGACAGAAUGCUAUGGCUAAAAUGUGUAUUCCAAAGUUUAUGUGUUGAAAAGUGAAUCCCUCUAUUCUCAUGAAUGAAUUAAUAAAUUAAUGAAUUAAUGAGGCUCUGCCCUCAUGAAUGGAUUAA